GGGGGCGCCCAGCCUGCUUGCCAGCCGUGGAAACAAUGCCGAGCAUCUCUGGGUACGCGGGCAGGAAAUGAGCUCCAAACCGGACCGGCUGAAUUCAGCUCCGCUCAUCCAAAUACUCAUCCCGGUGAGUCGGAAUGGAAGGAGAGAGCCCCUGUGUGCCUGUCCCCUGCCCUGCCGCAAACUUACACAGAAGAGUUGGGAUUUGGCAGGUCAUAGCCAAGACAACAUACUGGACUGCUUAGUGUAAGCAUGGGGUUCCCAAAGAGACCCAAGAACAUGGCACAACUUGCUGGAGAAUGUCGAGUCACCUCCACACUUUUUGGGUGUUUAGUCUUAUUCUGGCAUAAGGGUCAGAUCUGAGCUUUAUCCAGCUUGGAAUGGCUUGUGGAGACAGCAGGGGCUAGAUACUACCUCUCUAGCUAUCUUUUUCUCUGCACCGUUGUUCUUUUUGUCUCAGCCUAAAUUUGGAGAGAAAAGAGAAAAGAUCCAUUUGAUCUUCUUUCACUUUCCCCCUAGGCGGCCC
rnacentral:lncRNA from 1 species